UACGUAGGGGGCAAGCGUUGUCCGGAUUUAUUGGGCGUAAAGAGCGUGUAGGCGGCCUGGUAGGUCAGCUGUGAAAACUCGAGGCUCAACCUCGAGACGUCGGUUGAAACCACCUGGCUAGAGUCCGGAAGAGGAGAGUGGAAUUCCCGGUGUAGCGGUGAAAUGCGCAGAUAUCGGGAAGAACACCCGUGGCGAAGGCGGCUCUCUGGGACGGUACUGACGCUGAGGAGCGAAAGCGUGGGGAGCGAACAGG
rnacentral:rRNA from 1 species